AGUGAACGCUGGCGGUAGGCCUAACACAUGCAAGUCGAACGGCAGCACAGUAAGAGCUUGCUCUUACGGGUGGCGAGUGGCGGACGGGUGAGGAAUACAUCGGAAUCUACUUUUUCGUGGGGGAUAACGUAGGGAAACUUACGCUAAUACCGCAUACGACCUACGGGUGAAAGCAGGGGAUCUUCGGACCUUGCGCGAUUGAAUGAGCCGAUGUCGGAUUAGCUAGUUGGCGGGGUAAAGGCCCACCAAGGCGACGAUCCGUAGCUGGUCUGAGAGGAUGAUCAGCCACACUGGAACUGAGACACGGUCCAGACGCCUACGGGAGGCAGCAGUGGGGAAUAUUGGACAAUGGGCGCGAGCCUGAUCCAGCCAUACCGCGUGGGUGAAGAAGGCCUUCGGGGUGUAAAGCCCUUUUGUUGGGAAAGAAAAGCAGCAGGUUAAUACCCCGCUGUUCUGACGGUACCCAAAGAAUAAGCACCGGCUAACUUCGUG
rnacentral:rRNA from 1 species